rnacentral:rRNA from 1 species
GACGAACGCUGGCGGCGCGCUUAACACAUGCAAGUCGAACGGAAAGGCCCUGCUUUUGUGGGGUGCUCGAGUGGCGAACGGGUGAGUAACACGUGAGUAACCUGCCCUUGACUUUGGGAUAACUUCAGGAGACUGGGGCUAAUACCGGAUAGGAGCUCCUGCUGCAUGGUGGGGGUUGGAAAGUUUCGGCGGUUGGGGAUGGACUCGCGGCUUAUCAGCUUGUUGGUGGGGUAGUGGCUUACCAAGGCUUUGACGGGUAGCCGGCCUGAGAGGGUGACCGGCCACAUUGGGACUGAGAUACGGCCCAGACUCCUACGGGAGGCAGCAGUGGGGAAUAUUGCACAAUGGGCGGAAGCCUGAUGCAGCAACGCCGCGUGCGGGAUGACGGCCUUCGGGUUGUAAACCGCUUUCGCCUGUGACGAAGCGUGAGUGACGGUAAUGGGUAAAGAAGCACCGGCUAACUACGUG